rnacentral:rRNA from 1 species
GACGUAGGAGGCGAGCGUUAUCCGGAUUCACUGGGCGUAAAGCGCAUGUAGGCGGUUGCACAAGUCCGUUGUUAAAGCCCCUGGCUCAACUGGGGGAGGUCAAUGGAGACUGUGCGACUUGAGGGCAAUAGAGGCACGUGGAAACUCCCGGUGUAGCGGUGGAAUGCGUAGAGAUCGGGAAGAACACCAGUGGCGAAGGCGACGUGCUGGGUUGCACCUGACGCUGAGAUGCGAAAGUGUGGGGAGCAAACGGG